AGCAGCCGCGGUAAUUCCAGCUCCAAUAGCGUAUAUUAAAGUUGUUGCAGUUAAAAAGCUCGUAGUUGAAUUUCGGGGUUAGUAGGCUGGUCAUGCCACCGGUAUGUACUGGUCUUACUGGCUCCUCCUUCCUGAUGAACCGUAAUGCCAUUAAUUUGGUGUUGCGGGGAAACUGGACUGUUACUUUGAAAAAUUAGAGUGUUUAAAGCAGGCUAACGCUUGAAUACAUUAGCAUGGAAUAAUGAAAUAGGACGUUCGAUCUUAUUUUGUUGGUUUCUAGGAUUGACGUAAUGAUUAAUAGGGAUAGUUGGGGGCAUUAGUAUUCAAUUGUCAGAGGUGAAAUUCUUGGAUUUUAUUGAAGACUAACUACUGCGAAAGCAUUUGCCA
rnacentral:sRNA from 1 species